GUGCUCGCUUUGGCAGCACAUAUACUAAAAUUGGAACGAUACAGAGAAGAUUAGAAAAGAUUCCAAUUUUAUUAAAUUUGGAGAAGCUAAUCCUUUGU